GCUGCAACUCGCCUACAUGAAGUCGGAAUCGCUAGUAAUCGCGGAUCAGCAUGCCGCGGUGAAUACGUUCCCGGGCCUUGUACACACCGCCCGUCACACCACGGGAGUUUGCAACACCCGAAGUCGGUGAGGUAACCGCAAGGAGCCAGCCGCCGAAGGUGGGGUAGAUAACUGGGGUGAAGUCGUAACAAGGUAUCCGUACCGGAAGGUGCGGAUGGAUCACCUCCUUUCUAUGGAGA
rnacentral:rRNA from 1 species